rnacentral:snRNA from 1 species
UUCACUUCUUGGCCUUUUGGCUAAGAUCAAGUGUAAACUUAAUGAAUUUUAAAAAAUAAAUUAAGGUCCAGAAUUCUGAUGCCUCCUACUUGGUUACCCAGCAUUGCUUUUACUACUGUAGGUCUCUUC